CGUCAAUUUGGCAGUAAUUUUUAUUACUCUGGUGACGGUGUUGUGUGCACGUGCUCUCGAAACGUCACGUAAGUGUCAGUUUUCAUGUUUGAACUAUUUGGUCUAUCUUUGUUAAUUAUGAACCUAUUCAUACGUAAAUUUCCCAAAUUGUAGUUACAUAAGAAAGGAAUCUUAUUGCUUUAGUAAUGUUUCAAUUGAUUUUGUUAGUUUGCCAGAAUGUUCGUAUAUUAAAGUGAUUUAGGGUCGUAUGUUCCUUUCUGGCAGGGCUGGUUGUUCCGCGGAAAAACUGAACCAAAUCGACUUUCAAUCGUAUUUAAAAUUAUCAUGACACAUUUUUUUUUAUUCUAAGUAUGCGAAACUACAAGACAGAUAGAGGUAAGACCUCUUGGACAAUUGUUACGUCAAGCUUCCCCUGCUGUUACCAACGACGGAAAAUCUGUUAAAACUGUGGCAAGAGAAAUUGAAUUUUCCGCAUGACCUUACAUUGACUUCUAGAAAAUGAUGUUUACGACAGACGACUAUUUAAACAUACAAGCCAGAAAAAAAGGAAUGGCUAAAAAACAGACAGAAAAAAAGACAAACUGAUGAAGGCAUCACAAGGACUGGAGCAGAAAAAUCAAAGAAACAUGAAAAGUAAAUGAUUUAUAGAUUUUAUAGCUGAGAAACAUCCGAGCCUGGACAGGCAUUCGAAAUGCAGGUCAACAUUUCCAUAUGGCAGAAGAUCGAGAAGCCUUUGCUAUGAUGAUCGCCAACGUCGAAUAACUCUGAUAUGGCACAUAAAGAAGAAGGACUUAUUUUAACUGAAUAAAAAAAUUCAUACAAACCAGUAACACAA